rnacentral:miRNA from 1 species
UAGGAACUUCAUACCAUGCUC